AGUGAACGCUGGCGGUAGGCCUAACACAUGCAAGUCGAACGGCAGCACAGUAAGAGCUUGCUCUUACGGGUGGCGAGUGGCGGACGGGUGAGGAAUACAUCGGAAUCUACUUUUUCGUGGGGGAUAACGUAGGGAAACUUACGCUAAUACCGCAUACGACCUACGGGUGAAAGCAGGGGAUCUUCGGACCUUGCGCGAUUGAAUGAGCCGAUGUCGGAUUAGCUAGUUGGCGGGGUAAAGGCCCACCAAGGCGACGAUCCAUAGCUGGUCUGAGAGGAUGAUGGGACACACUGGAACUGAGACACGGUCCAGACUCCUACGGGAGGCAGCAGUGGGGAAGAGUAAGCAAUGGGCGAAAGCCUGAAGCAGUAAUGCCGCGUGAGUGAAGAAGGUCUUCGGAUUGUAAAGCUCUGUUAUUAGGGAAGAAAAAAAGCGGAAGUAAACCUCGACGUAUUGACGGUACCUAAAGAGAAAGCAACGGCUAACUACGUG
rnacentral:rRNA from 1 species